AAAGUGUGGCUAAUACCGGAUGAUGUCUACGGAUCACAGGUGGGGAUCUUCGGACCUGCCGGUCUGGGAGCGGNCCAUGUCCUAUCAGCUUGUUGGUGGGGUAAAGGCCUACCAAGGCGCCGACGGGUAGCGGGACUGAGAGGUUGGCCCGCCACAUCGGGACUGAGACACUGCCCGGACACCUACGGGUGGCUGCAGUAACGAAUAUUGGGCAAUGGGCGCAAGCCUGACCCAGCAAUGCCGCGUGCAGGAGGAAGCCCUUCGGGGUGUAAACUGCUGUCAGGGGCUAGCAGACAAUGGGCGUUAAUAGCGUCCGGCGUUGAGCCGCCCCAAAGGAAGCCUCGACUAACUCUGUGCCAGCAGUCGCGGUAAGACAGAGGAGGCAAGCGUUGUUCGGAAUCAUUGGGCUUAAAGCGGGUGUAGGCGGCUAGGCAAGUGUCGUGUGAAAUCCAACGGCUCAACCGUUGAACUGCACGGCAAACUGCCUGGCUUGAGGUCGGUAGAGGUGCCUGGAACUCUUGGUGGAGCGGUGAAAUGCGUAGAUAUCCAGAGGAACGCCAGAGGCGAAAGCGGGGCACUGGGCCGAUUCUGACGCUGAGAUCCGAAAGCGUGGGGAGCAAACAGGAUUAGAUACCCUGGUAGUCCACGCCGUUAAACGAUGCACACUAGACGUCGGAGGUUCUGACACCGUCGGCGUCGCAGCAAAAGUACUAAGUGUGCCGCCUGGGGAGUACGGCCGCAAGGCUAAAACUCAAAGGAAUUGACGGGGGCUCACACAAGCGGUGGAGCAUGUGGCUUAAUUCGAAGCAACGCGAAGAACCUUACCCGGGUUUGACAUGCUUGGAUGCCUCCUGGGGAUAACUCAGGUCGGCUGCCCUUCGGGGUGAAACUUGCACAGGUGUUGCAUGGCUGUCGUCAGCUCGUGCUGUGAAGUGUCGGGUUAAGUCCCUUAACGAGCGAAACCCCUAUCGCUAGUUGCCAGCGGGUCAUGCCGGGGACUCUAGCGAGACUGCCGGCGUUAAGCCGGAGGAAGGUGGGGACGACGUCAAGUCAUCAUGGCCUUUAUGCCCGGGGAUGCACACGUGCUACAAUGGCGCGUACAGAGCGAGGCAAGACCGCGAGGUGGAGCAAAUCGCAAAAAACGCGCCCCAGUUCGGAUUGGAGUCUGCAAUUCGACUCCAUGAAGUUGGAAUCGCUAGUAAUCGCGUAUCA
rnacentral:rRNA from 1 species